GUGGGGCGCGCACCGGGGCGUAGGGGGCGCGUGUCCUCGCCUGUGAAGGGCCUCAGCUGAGCCGCUGUCCUGCGGCCAAUGCAGGCGCCCUGCUCCUCCCUGCCGCUCCCCCAGCUCCCCGGAGCCUGAGGGGAAGGCGGUGUGACACCCCUACCCCGCCCAAGGCCUCCCCGCCGCCUCCAGACGCCCCCGCCCCAGCCGAAGCCCCUGCAGCCCGGGGGGCCGGCGUCAGGGUUUUAGCUAAGAACACAGAAGUAGAGAGGAAGUUCUUUUUCCUCCCCUACAAAGCUCAACAGAGCCAUCGUGGUGCAAGGACAAAGGAACGAAAUUGAGGCAUCUGCUAGACUUCCAUCAAAUCUGCUCCGAAAAUUUUGAAAUAGACAAUAUCUUUAUAACUGAUGAGAGGUCCUUGGCUUUUGAAGACUAUCUUAAUCAGCAGUAGACAAUGCUUUAUUUUUAUACCUUGACAAAGACAACAGAGACAGAAGCCUCCUCAAAUUAUCUUGUAUCCAGGCACGCUGCACAAUCUUACAUAAGUAUGUGUUGAAUUAAUAAUGAAGUUAUGACCAACCAUGAUGCUUGUAUCAUGACGUGCCAUCAUCCCUAUUGUUUGUGCACCAUUUUUCCAAGGUGUGUCACCAUUUCAUGUUAUGAAGUGGAGGAGGUAGGGAGUCAUGUUUUAUUGUUCUACAGAAGAGUAAAUAGAAACUUUUUUUAAUAAUGCAAAAGUAAUAAAAUAUCAGGAAGAAUAUAAAUGGUGACUUUGGCUUCCUUGCCUUUGAAUAAAUAUAUGAAUUUAUUAUGUUCUUGUUUAGUAACUAAGUCGUGUCCGACUCUUUGCUACCCCAUGGACUGCAGCAU